rnacentral:rRNA from 1 species
GACGAACGCUGGCGGCGUGCCUAAUACAUGCAAGUCGAGCGGACGAAUCAAAAGCUUGCUUUUGAUUCGUUAGCGGCGGACGGGUGAGUAACACGUGGGCAACCUGCCCUGUAGACGGGGAUAACACCGAGAAAUCGGUGCUAAUACCGGAUAACACGAAAUGUCGCAUGACGUUUCGUUGAAAGACGGCGCAAGCUGUCGCUACAGGAUGGGCCCGCGGCGCAUUAGCUAGUUGGUGAGGUAACGGCUCACCAAGGCGACGAUGCGUAGCCGACCUGAGAGGGUGAUCGGCCACACUGGGACUGAGACACGGCCCAGACUCCUACGGGAGGCAGCAGUAGGGAAUCUUCCGCAAUGGACGAAAGUCUGACGGAGCAACGCCGCGUGAGCGAAGAAGGCCUUCGGGUCGUAAAGCUCUGUUGUUAGGGAAGAACAAGUAACGCAGUAACUGGCGUUACCGUGACGGUACCUAACGAGAAAGCCACGGCUAACUACGUGCCAGCAGCCGCGGUAAAAC